GGAAGCCAAUGGUUAUCAUCAAACUAACCAAUGGUUUCAUGCAAAUGCCCGAUACAACCUGGAGAUUAUGAGUGUGGAUAUUAUGUCAUGCGAUACAUGUUUGGUAUCGUGACAAAAUAUUCAUCAUUUGAUGAUUUGGAUAAGGCAUUUGAAAGCGAUAGUCCGUACUCCAUCAAUGACAUAAAUGAGAUUCGGGAGCAAUGGGCAAAAUACUUCUUUUCGGAGUGCGUGUAACUUUUGUUUUAUUGAUAAAUAGUUUUGUUUUGAUGAUAGUAUUGUUUUGUGCAUGUUUUGAUGAUAUUAUUAUAUUAAAGUGUAAUCGAGGAUAUAAAGUAGUAUUGUGUUUUGAUGAUAGUAUUGUGUUCAA